rnacentral:rRNA from 1 species
AUUGAACGCUGGCGGCAGGCCUAACACAUGCAAGUCGAACGAGUGGCGGACGGGUGAGUAAUGUAUGGGAAACUGCCCGAUGGAGGGGGAUAACUACUGGAAACGGUGGCUAAUACCGCAUACCAUCGGAUGUACCCAGAUGGGAUUAGCUAGUAGGUGGGGUAACGGCUCACCUAGGCGACGAUCCCUAGCUGGUCUGAGAGGAUGAUCAGCCACACUGGAACUGAGACACGGCCCAGACUCCUACGGGAGGCAGCAGUGGGGAAUAUUGCACAAUGGGCGCAAGCCUGAUGCAGCCAUGCCGCGUGUAUGAAGAAGGCCUUAGGGUUGUAAAGUACUUUCAGCGAGGAGGCGUUACUCGCAGAAGAAGCACCGGCUAACUCCGUGCCAGCAGCCGCGGUAAUAC